rnacentral:rRNA from 1 species
CGAUGGGCCGACGUCGCAUGCUCCCGGCCGCCAUGGUUAGAGUUUGAUCUGGCUCAGGAUGAACGCUGGCGGCGUGCUUAACACAUGCAAGUCGAACGAUGACCCCGUGCUUGCACGGGUGAUUAGUGGCGAACGGGUGAGUAACACGUGAGUAACCUGCCCCUGACUUCGGGAUAAGCCUGGGAAACUGGGUCUAAUACCGGAUAUGCACCGUGGACCGCAUGGUCCUUGGUGGAAAGACUUGUUGGUCAGGGAUGGACUCGCGGCCUAUCAGCUUGUUGGUGAGGUAAUGGCUCACCAAGGCGACGACGGGUAGCCGGCCUGAGAGGGUGACCGGCCACACUGGGACUGAGACACGGCCCAGACUCCUACGGGAGGCAGCAGUGGGGAAUAUUGCACAAUGGGCGAAAGCCUGAUGCAGCGACGCCGCGUGAGGGAUGACGGCCUUCGGGUUGUAAACCUCUUUCAGUAGGGAAGAAGCGAAAGUGACGGUACCUGCAGAAGAAGCGCCGGCUAACUACGUGCCAGCAGCCGCGGUAAUACGUAGGGCGCAAGCGUUAAUCGGAAUUACUGGGCGUAAAGCGCGCGUAGGUGGUUUGUUAAGUUGGAUGUGAAAUCCCCGGGCUCCACCUGGGAACUGCAUCCAAAACUGGCAAACUAGAGUAUGGUAGAGGGGUGGUGGAAUUUCCUGUGUAGCGGUGAAUGCGUAGAUAUAGGAAGGAACACCAGUGGCGAAGGCGACACCUGGGACUGAUACUGACACUGAGGUGCGAAGCGUGGGGA